GGGCCGUUAGCUCAACUGGCAGAGCAGGAGACUCUUAAUCUCAAGGUUGAAGGUUCGAGUCCUUCACGGCCCA
rnacentral:tRNA from 3 species